ACUUUAUUACAAUGCCUUCUGUAGUCAAAGAAAGUACUGGAGAUCUAAUAUUAGGAGUUGCUGUGAUUUUGUCUUGCGGUGGUGAGUUGUACGUCGCGGAUUUAUAUCAUUGGUCAUUCAACGACAACACAAUAGAGGGCCAAAACAACAAGACAAUCCAUCUCUACAACUUCACUGAGGCUGAUAUCGGAGUGUACAAGUGUCGGGCUGUAAAGAGUCGGUACACGACGGCAGAAGCGUCAUUUCACGCUGUAAUGAAACCAGCAAUCACCCGUGAGCCUGAGGGUACUUUUUAUGGUGAAGGCGGUGACUACGUUCUAAAGUGUAAUACUGGCUUAAACGUAACAACUGGUUGGUCCUUCUCGUGGAAGCGGUAAUCCUUAAUUAAAAUAAUGCAUGAGUUGUUAAAAGGGCUCGUAUGUUUCAAACCAUAUGUGAAUAUAAUAGUUUUUCUUAAAUCGGUUAAAAAUAUAUAGAAAAGGUAUGGCCGCUAUUUUUAAUUAAAUUAUUUAGAAUCGUAAACCGUGAUAAUGGUAGAUUACAAGUUGAGGGCUAGCUUAAGAAAAAUAUAUACCCUAUGUAAAUUGGAAUUUUUUAAAGAUGUUUGCAGUUUGUUAUUAUUUAUUUGAAUCCAUAACAAGUUGUUCUAAACUUAAUUUGAUUAUAUUAUAAGUAAAAUGUUAAUAAUUGUUGCGUUGUGGGUGCUCUUGGUAUUUUAAAAUCUUGAAACCGUCAAGUUUUUGUUUUUUUGUGUGUUAUCAAUGGGCAUCUUGAUCAAAGAAAUUAAUUUCGUUCGAAAAUUCAUAUCUUUACCUGGCUAACGAGAUUCCGAAUAGUAAGUGAGAGACUUCCCUGCAACCUAUAAUUUUUUACUAAAAUUCCUUAAAGCGUUCACACUAUUAUAGUUUAUAAACCAUUUCUGAUUUCAGAAAUAGUUCUUUAACUACGAACUUCACAAACGUUUAUGUAAUAACUGAGGCUAAUGCAGCCAGUCAUAAUGGCUUCUACACAUGCACAUCAACAUAUAACAGAGCAACAAGCAUUAGCGAUGCGCUAAAUGUAACCAUUGUAGCGGCAGGCAAACGAUGUACAAACAAAACUGACUGCCCAGGCACCAAGUACACGGGAAAAUGUAUUACAACAAUGACAGCUAAAAUUUGCCAGUGUGCGUCUCAUUACAAGCUUAAAGGCGAAGACUGUACAGCUGGAACUGCUGUUUUAAUUAGCUGUGUUUUCCUGGUCGCCAUUGCAUGCAUGAAUGCGCUUGUUUUCUAAAAAAAUAAUUACUUUGAGCUUUCAUUGAGUGUGAUUUUUUGUAAAUACAUAUUCUCAAUUAAAUAAUAAUUUUAAAGAAAACAAGUAUGCCCUUUUUUGGAAACUAUAUUGGAAACGACAUAAGUAUUUGAGUCCUGUAUGUUCAGAACACAAUUAAAAUUAAAUAACUAAAUACGAGAAAUUAUGUAUGCGAUGGGUAACCUUGAUAAUUGCAAGCUGUUAAAAUAUAAAUUAAAAACAAUUAUUUAGCCUAGAGUGUUUAUUUACAUCAUUUAUUUACAUGUAUAGCAUAUUAUUCAAGAUUGACACAUGACAUCGCACACGCUAAAUAAACAUACAUGUACACACGCAUAUACGAACAUGUGCAUAUACAUUCACAUAAGCUGUUACAAAACACUAUAUUCCAAAGCUACAUUCAAAUUGACAAGUUUAUUCAGAAACCAAUUUUUGUUUGAAUAUAUUAUGCUAUUCAACUUGUAUUAAAUUAUUUAUGUUUAUUUAGAGGUGAUUUGUGAUAAUAUUGUGAUAGUAUAAGUAUUUCUUUUUAAUAAUAAAAGCUGGU